rnacentral:rRNA from 1 species
GGGUACACGAGCGGCGAACGGGUGAGUAACACGUGGGUGAUCUGCCCUGCACUCUGGGAUAAGCUUGGGAAACUGGGUCUAAUACCGGAUAUGACCGCAUGCUGCAUGNGGUGUGGUGGAAAGAUUUAUCGGUGCAGGAUGGGCCCGCGGCCUAUCAGCUUGUUGGUGGGGUAAUGGCCUACCAAGGCGACGACGGGUAGCCGACCUGAGAGGGUGACCGGCCACACUGGGACUGAGACACGGCCCAGACUCCUACGGGAGGCAGCAGUGGGGAAUAUUGCACAAUGGGCGGAAGCCUGAUGCAGCGACGCCGCGUGAGGGAUGAAGGCCUUCGGGUUGUAAACCUCUUUCAGCAGGGACGAAGCGUGAGUGACGGUACCUGCAGAAGAAGCACCGGCUAACUACGUGCCA